AGAGAGGACCAGGAAAUGGAGAGAAAAGCAACUUGCACAGAGCAAGAAAUACACGGAAAGAAAGCAGAAUGGAACUAUGUGCAAUGAACAAGAAAAGAGACCUUGGAUUAUACCCAUGCAAGAAAGUGUGGCCUGUGACCUCCAUUGCUUUGUAAUUGCAGGGUGAGGAAAUAUGACUCAGCAAAAUAUUUUAUUUCUUGUGAAUUCAAACAACAAACUAUCUCUAUGCACCUAAGAAGGGGAGAUCAGGAACAAGCAAACAGCAGAGUCAGGUUUCAGUCAUCCAAUCAGGGAGCAGACUCAAUACCAUAUGCCUUAAGUGACCAGUCACAUGCCAUGAAGAACAAAUGGUCAAACAGAACAGUCUGCAAAGUUCCCAGAGAUUGAACAGGUUUUCCCCAAACUAUUUGACAAUCUCCAUUGCCUUUGUUUGGCUUCCAGAAAAUCAGUGUUCGAGCUGGGCAGGAGGAAGAGAUAAGCCAAUGGCUUCCUCUCCGAGAUCAUUAGCCUGGCGAGUCGGGAGAAGGCAAACAGCAGUGCAAGAGUUCAUGCUCUUGCCACUGGGCUGCAGUCUGACACCAUCUUGUUUUUUCUCAUGGAGGCCACUGAACGUGCUCUGUGCCUCCACGACGUUCUGUCCUGAGCUAAAUCCGGCAUGUUACAAGGUAGGAUGUCAGUGAGGGACAGGUGUCUGUUGACACUGUAUGGCCAUUGUGUUUUAGGUAUUCCGGUAUAUCGCUUUCAUUGGGUCAAAGUUGAAGAUAAUUCUCACAGGAAGUCAGUAGGCAUUCGGCGCAGAUGGCCAUGCCAUCACAGAGAGCGUCGGGUGACCAUUUGAGAGAGCAGGACUUGUUAUGUUAGAAAAUGGAUCUCUUCAUUUGACUUGAAUUUCUGCCAUUUGAUUUAAUCUUUCAGAGAUGCUUGGUAGUGAGGGGUAUGUUUCAGUCUCACAGGGCAGAUUGCUGACCUCCAACGCAUUAUAUAGCCUUGGCUUCAUCUCUCUAUGGAUCAGGAUGUUCAAUUUGCAAAAGAUGUUCUUAAUGGGGAGCCCCAUUACUGACAAUGCUUUUGCAGUGUGGCCUUCAAGUUGUUUCUCAUUGCCACCCACGUAAUCAACAACAAAGCCAAGGUGGGUGAAAUUAUUGACAAUCUCAACUGGGUGGUCGCUCACUAAUAGGCUAGAGCCCCUGGCAUAUUCAUGUUCAACCAGAAGAAUUUUGGUUUUACCCCAGUUAAUUUUCAGGGUGACUUUUGUCACUGAGUUUCCCAGGGCUUUAAGAACCACAACUAGCUCGUCCAUUGGUUCCACAACUAGUGCUAUGUCAUUAGCAAAGUCAGUGUUGGUGAGGUUCUUAUCAUCAAGGCAGAUGUGUAAAAUGCAUUUAAUUAGUGUCUCAUCAAGCAUGCAGUCUAUGAUGGCAUUGAAGAGUUCUGGGGCAGCAAAACGUCCUUGUUGAAUGCCCGACCUAAUUCAGAAGACCGCGGUUCUUUUCCCAUUUACAAGAAUGCAGCUUGAGGAGUCAUCAUAUAGGAGCUGGACCAUUCUACAAGGAGGCUGGUGAGUUUCGAGAUCAGCCACAUGCUGCCUUUAAUUUGUACCCAUCUUUAAUUUGUACCCAUCUAUAAUGUCCCCUCUCUAAGGCAAACCAUCUCUCCUCAGAGUCUGGCUGUAGUCUAGGACCUUCCUUAGUCGAGAAACGCCCCCUCUCACCCCCAUGCCAGCCUGCAAGCAGCAGAGGUGCCUGGAUUCAGAAGGGCUUCUCAGCUUUGGGAUUUACAACCCUCUCCCCUCCUGCAUCUCUAUGUGUGACAUAACCUGGGCCAGCUCACCUCUCAGGCAUGCUGCAAAGCCCAGAUGGGGAGGCAGCCCUUUGAGGAGAGCUGAGGUAGUUGUGGGAGGGGCUGGUUUGUGGGUAGGUGAGGUGGGGGGGCGUUGUUUUGUGGCUCUGGGGUAGGGAGAUACGCAAUGUGGUUUUGAUGUUCUAAUUAUUUGUGUGCCAGGCUUUUAAUUGUCGCCCCAGGCCUAAUGCUUUUCAUAAGGUGUUCGUUAGUGCGGUGUUUAAAUCCAAAUAAAUAAUCAUUUUCAUUGCCCUCCUUGGACCCCUACUGUCUCUGGUGUGUGAAAAAAUGUAUCAGACAGAGAGACAGGCCCCUAUCCGAGGGACACUGUGGUGUCUGAAGGCAAGACUUUGACUUGCCUGGUAGCCCAAAGGAGAGAAAUAAUGAUAGAAUUUAACAUUGGAUAUUGAAUGUGAUACUUUGUAACAUAAAAGCAAAAUCACGGCAAAAUUAUCAUCUUAAUUGUAUUAAUGCCGCCAAUUAGAGACACAGCUCGUGUUGCGCAGCAGGAGAGUUCCAGGAUGGAAGGGAAGAUAAAUGAUCUGCAAACUCCUCGUUUUGUCUGUGUAAAUUAUCACCCCCAGGUAUUUAAUAGAGUCGCUAGCCCUGAUCACUGAGCACUGUUCUGAGAGUGCAUUAAGGAAGAGCCCACAGACCUGCUCUGUUUUGUCCAAAGUAGCUGAAGUUGUUGCAUUGCCCAGAGUUGAAUUGGAAAGGAGAAUUGGGGUCUAAAUCACAUAUCAUCAGCACACAGCAAAACAGAACUGAGCGAGUUUGUAAACCUGAUACACUGCAGCUUGCUAGGCCUGGUCCAGCUCCCAUUAGUGCCAUCACAAUGAGAGAAUUAGGCAGCUGGCAUGCUGUGAUCAUGUGAUCAGAAUCCUUUCCUUCUUACCACCUUGUGCUUCCCCACCAGUUGUCUCUCAUCUUAUCCUUAGAUUGGAAGGUCUUUGGGGAGGGACUGUCUCUUUGUUCUAUGUCUAUAUAGCGCCUAGCGCAAUGGGGGUGGGGUUCCUAAGUCUCCUGCAAUACAAAUCACAGAAGGACCAUGCUGACUUCAGUCGGAGCUGGACUUGGCCCUCUGAGCUAUAAACAAGGAGGUUUCAUCAUCAACUAUGAUGAUGAAAAAGGGAUGAGUUUUGAGACAACCUUGGUCAGUUCCUUGAGGCAGUGAAAAGCAGGAAGAGGUAUUGUUAUUUGUGACUAUUGAGUGGACUGAAGAAGCCUAGAAAAAAGUAAUCCAGAUUAUAGAUUCUCCAAAAUUCUCUGUCUUCAGAACAUUCAGGAGGGAUCGUUCAAUAUCGGAGGAAAAGUACUUGAUGCUUCAGGACCUCCAGACACAAAAGGUUCUUCACUGGCAAUAAAGUAUGUGGAGAAAAUUCUCAAUAUCAUGGUUCAUGCCUAGCAUUUCAUUUGGUUUUUCCAUGAAGGUCCCAUCAUUGAGAUGUUUAGAUUAAAGAUUAAAUAUUCUGACUAUUGCAAAUGGGUUGAAUCAAACACCUGCUCCAAACAGGCCUGGACUCCAAGGUGUUUGCCAUCUGGACUCCAAUGUAGGGACAAAUGUUGAGGAUUUGACCAUGUCCACUUUGAAUCUUUCCUCCUAAGUCGAUUCCUUUUGCUCAUCUCUUCUAAUGCACUUCUAAUCUAUUGUUGUCUUUUUAGUAGUGAGGUGCCCAGAAUGGAAUGUAGUGCCCCAGGUAAUGCUAAACUCAAGCCAAGGAAACAGAGCUGUCCUAUUCUUGUGUUGCCUUGCAGACGUGCAAAACCAUGGUUGUGUUGGGUUCGUAAAACCUCCUUCACUGGGAUUUAGCUUGGAAAGCAGGGCUGGUUCUGAUCCGGGUCCUUGUAUACAAAUCUGCAAGAUUCACAGAGAAAGGGGGAAUUCAGGAUAAAUAGUUCUAGUAUGGGCUCAUAUCUAACAAGAAUCCCCUUUCGAAUUCACAGUGUUCCAUUACCAGCCCCCUACUUGGCUCCUGGCUCUGCAGAUAUGGGCUCCAAAGUCAAUGAAGAGCAGAGCUGAGUGUGUCACUCAGCAGUUCCAUAGUUAGAUUCACCUCGCCUAGCUUAGCCUAGAGAGGUUGUGUGGUCCUGUGGCUAGAGUACUAGAUUAUGAAUCGGGAUAGCUGGGUACUCCACCCACUGCUGACCUAUUUUGUGACCCCAGGCAUAUCACUUCCUCUCUCUCUGGUCCUGCUCUCCCAUCUACCUUGUCAAUUUAGAUUUUAAACUCUUUGGGGCAGGUACCAUCUCUCAUUACAUGUGCAGUUCCUGGUACACCUCUACCUUGAUAUAACACUGUCCUCGGGAGCCAAAAAAUCUUACCGCGUUAUAGGUGAAACCGCGUUAUAUCGAACUUGCUUUGAUCUACCGGAGUGUGCAGCCCCACCCACCCGGAGCACUGCUUUAUCGCAUUAUAUCCGAAUUCAUGUUAUAUCGGGUCGCGUUAUAUUGGGGUAGAGGUGUAUAAUGGGUCUCUGAUCUUGGUUGGGGCCUCUAGGCACAACUACAAUCAUAAUAAAGUAAUAAUAAAACCCAGUUUAGAAACCUAUUCAACCAUUGCCAAGGAAGGAGCAGUGACCUACAGAAGAACUCUGAAGGGGAAUCCUAGAAAGGAAGGGGAUGAUCCGCUUAACUGGGAGGUUACAACCUCCAAUGAUUUUGCGCUCUUUUCAGCAAGGCUGCAAAGUGAGCUGUGAACUCUGGCAGCGACCCCUCCGCGUGGAGCCGUCGCACUGGUGAAGAAAAGGCGGCUGUGUAAACAGGCAAGAAGAGGAAGCAAUAUUAAGUCAAAAUAA